rnacentral:rRNA from 1 species
UACGUAGGGUGCGAUCGUUGUCCGGAAUUAUUGGGCGUAAAGAGCUCGUAGGCGGUCUGUCGCGUCGGUCGUGAAAACUUGGGGCUUAACCCUGAGCUUGCGGUCGAUACGGGCAUGACUGGAGUUCGGCAGGGGAGACUGGAAUUCCUGGUGUAGCGGUGAAAUGCGCAGAUAUCAGGAGGAACACCGGUGGCGAAGGCGGGUCUCUGGGCCGAUACUGACGCUGAGGAGCGAAAGCGUGGGGAGCGAACAGG